AGCAUAUCAAUAAGCGGAGGAAAAGAAACCAACAGGGAUUGCCUCAGUAACGGCGAGUGAAGCGGCAACAGCUCAAAUUUGAAAUCUGGCGUCCGCCCGAGUUGUAAUUUGCAGAGGAUGCUUCGGGGCAGCGGCCGAUCUAAGUCCUUUGGAACAGGGCGUCACAGAGGGUGAGAAUCCCGUAUGUGAUCGGCUGGCACCCCACACGUAGCUCCUUCGACGAGUCGAGUUGUUUGGGAAUGCAGCUCUAAAUGGGAGGUAAAUUUCUUCUAAAGCUAAAUACCGGCCAGAGACCGAUAGCGCACAAGUAGAGUGAUCGAAAGAUGAAAAGCACUUUGGAAAGAGAGUCAAACAGCACGUGAAAUUGUUGAAAGGGAAGCGCAUGCAACCAGACUUGUCGGCGGUGUUCCCCCGGUCUUCUGACCGGGUCACUCGCCGCCGGCAGGCCAGCAUCGUUUGCGACCGCCGGAGAAAGGCGCAGGGAAUGUGGCUCCUCGGAGUGUUAUAGCCCUGCGCACAAUACGGUGCGUCGCGAGCGAGGUCCGCGCUUCGGCUAGGAUGCUGGCGUAAUGGUCGUAUGCGGCCCGUCUUGAAACACGGACCAAGGAGUCUACCAUCUAUGCGAGUGUUCGGGUGUCAAACCCCUACGCGCAAUGAAAGUGAACGGAGGUGGGAACGCAAGUGCACCAUCGACCGAUCCUGAUGUCUUCGGAUGGAUUUGAGUAAGAGCAUAGCUGGUGGGACCCGAAAGAUGGUGAUCUUUACUUGAAUAGGGUGAAGCCAGAGGAAACUCUGGUGGAGGCUCGCAGCGGUUCUGACGUGCAAAUCGAUCGUCAAAUUUGGGUAAAGGGGCGAAAGACUAAUCGAACCAUCUAGUAGCUGGUUCCUGC
rnacentral:rRNA from 1 species